rnacentral:rRNA from 1 species
GACGAACGCUGGCGGCGUGCUUAACACAUGCAAGUCGAACGGUGAAAGCGGAGCUUGCUCCGCUGGAUCAGUGGCGAACGGGUGAGUAACACGUGGGCAACCUGCCCCUCACUUCGGGAUAACUCCGGGAAACCGGGGCUAAUACCGGAUAUGACCUCCUUGGGCAUCCUGGGAGGUGGACAGUUUUUCGGUGAGGGAUGGGCCCGCGGCCUAUCGGCUUGGUGGUGAGGUGGUGGCUCACCAAGGCGACGACGGGUAGCCGGCCUGAGAGGGCGACCGGCCACACUGGGACUGAGACACGGCCCAGACUCCUACGGGAGGCAGCAGUGGGGAAUAUUGCGCAAUGGGCGCAAGCCUGAUGCAGCGACGCCGCGUGAGGGAUGACGGCCUUCGGGUUGUAAACCUCUUUCAGCACCGACGAAGCGCAAGUGACGGUAGGUGCAGAAGAAGGACCGGCCAACUACGUGCCAGCCGCCGCGGUAA